rnacentral:rRNA from 1 species
UACGUAGGGGGCAAGCGUUGUCCGGAUUUAUUGGGCGUAAAGCGCUCGCAGGUGGUCCGAUGCGUCGUGCGUGAAAGACCCCGGCUCAACUGGGAGUGUCGUGCGAUACGGUCGGACUGGAGGCCAGUAGGGGGAUGCGGAAUUCCGGGUGUAGUGGUGGAAUGCGUAGAGAUCCGGAGGAACACCAGCGGCGAAGGCGGCAUCCUGGACUGGUCCUGACACUCAUGAGCGAAAGCGUGGG